rnacentral:rRNA from 3 species
GAGAGCGGCGCACGGGUGCGUAACACGUGUGCAACCUACCUUUAUCUGGGGGAUAGCCUUUCGAAAGGAAGAUUAAUACCCCAUAAUAUAAUUGAUGGCAUCAUUGAUUAUUGAAAACUCCGGUGGAUAGAGAUGGGCACGCGCAAGAUUAGAUAGUUGGUGAGGUAACGGCUCACCAAGUCCAUGAUCUUUAGGGGUCCUGAGAGGGAGAUCCCCCACACUGGUACUGAGACACGGACCAGACUCCUACGGGAGGCAGCAGUGAGGAAUAUUGGACAAUGGGUGAGAGCCUGAUCCAGCCAUCCCGCGUGAAGGAUGACGGUCCUAUGGAUUGUAAACUUCUUUUGUACAGGGAUAAACCUACUCUCGUGAGGGUAGCUGAAGGUACUGUACGAAUAAGCACCGGCUAACUCCGUGCCAGCAGCCGCGGUAAUACGGAGGGUGCAAGCGUUAUCCGGAUUUAUUGGGUUUAAAGGGUCCGUAGGCGGACCCGUAAGUCAGUGGUGAAAUCUCAUAGCUUAACUAUGAAACUGCCAUUGAUACUGCGGGUCUUGAGUAAAUUUGAAGUGGCUGGAAUAAGUAGUGUAGCGGUGAAAUGCAUAGAUAUUACUUAGAACACCAAUUGCGAAGGCAGGUCACUAAGAUUUAACUGACGCUGAUGGACGAAAGCGUGGGUAGCGAACAGGAUUAGAUACCCUGGUAGUCCACGCCGUAAACGAUGCUAACUCGUUUUUGGAUUUUCGGAUUCAGAGACCAAGCGAAAGUGAUAAGUUAGCCACCUGGGGAGUACGUCCGCAAGGAUGAAACUCAAAGGAAUUGACGGGGGCCCGCACAAGCGGUGGAUUAUGUGGUUUAAUUCGAUGAUACGCGAGGAACCUUACCAAGACUUAAAUGGGAAUUGACAGGUUUAGAAAUAGACCCUUCUUCGGACAAUUUUCAAGGUGCUGCAUGGUUGUCGUCAGCUCGUGCCGUGAGGUGUUAGGUUAAGUCCUGCAACGAGCGCAACCCCUGUCACUAGUUGC